rnacentral:lncRNA from 10 species
GGAACAUGGAGUUCCUGACUCCACUAAUGGGAGUCAGGUAAUGGCGCGAGGGUUAUGAGUCAAAGCUGGCUUUCUCCAGGAUCCUGGGCAGCCCCCUAACUUCUCUGAGCCACAGUCUCCUCGUUUCACUACCAUGAAGGACCUUGUCCACCCAGAACUUCCAGGGACCACAUUUCAGGCCUAAAGGCCCAAGAACCAGGAGCUCUGAUGUUGAAGGGCAGGGGAAGAUGGGCAUCCCAGCUCAAGAGGAGAGGCAGAAUUCAUCCUUCCUCCACCCUUUUGCUCCUUUGGGCCCUCCAUGGAUUGGGUGAUGCCUGUCUACAUUGGUAAGGGUGAUUUUCUUUACUCAAUCAAAUGAUUCAAAUGCAAAUCUUUUCCAGAAACACCCUCACAGACACGCCCAGAAAUAAAUUCUUAGCAGCAAUCUGGGCAUUUCCUAGCCCAAGUGUUACUGGAAAGGGGUCCCGAUCCAGACCCCAAGAAAGGGCUCUUGGAUCUCAUGCAAGAAAGAAUUCAAGGUGAAUCCAUAGAGUAAAGUAAAAGCAACCUUACUAAGAAAGUAAAGGCAUAAAGAAUGGCUAUCC